rnacentral:lncRNA from 1 species
GAACGCUUCAACAAGCUUGUGGUCCGGAUGACGAAGUCUCUGGCUGAACUUCAAAGGGCCUUGGCUGGAGAAGUUGGAAUGAGCAAUGAGUUAGAUGAUGUGGCCAGGUCUCUUUUUAUCGGGCAUAUCCCUAAUAUCUGGAGAAGGCUUGCUCCUGACACCUUAAAGUCCCUUGGAAACUGGAUGGUCUACUUCCUGCGGCGGUUCAGCCAGUACAUGUUGUGGCUCUUGUUGGAUGGUUCUUAGAAAGGCUGAAACCACAGUCUAUGAGAGUGCUUCUUUCCUCACUCCGCUGCAAUGCUGCGUUCUUAACAUUUUGGAUCACUGUCUCCCUGAUAGGUGACCGAGAGCGAGCCCAGCGUGAUGUGGCUCUCGGGGCUGCACAUCCCUGAGUCCUACCUCACGGCGCUGGUGCAGGCCACCUGCCGGAAGAACGGCUGGCCACUGG